UCCUACGGGAGGCAGCAGUGGGGAAUAUUGGACAAUGGGGGGAACCCUGAUCCAGCGACGCCGCGUGAGUGAAGAAGUAUUUCGGUAUGUAAAGCUCUAUCAGCAGGGAAGAAAGAAAUGACGGUACCUGACUAAGAAGCCCCGGCUAACUACGUGCCAGCAGCCGCGGUAAUACGUAGGGGGCAAGCGUUAUCCGGAUUUACUUGGGGUAAAGGGAGCGUAGGCGGGUUAGCAAGUCAGAA
rnacentral:rRNA from 1 species